rnacentral:rRNA from 1 species
GUGGGGAAUAUUGGACAAUGGGCGAAAGCCUGAUCCAGCCAUGCCGCGUGUGUGAAGAAGGCCUUUUGGUUGUAAAGCACUUUAAGCGAGGAGGAGGCUACUUGGAUUAAUACUCUAGGAUAGUGGACGUUACUCGCAGAAUAAGCACCGGCUAACUCUGUGCCAGCAGCCGCGGUAAUACAGAGGGUGCGAGCGUUAAUCGGAUUUACUGGGCGUAAAGCGUGCGUAGGCGGCUUUUUAAGUCGGAUGUGAAAUCCCUGAGCUUAACUUAGGAAUUGCAUUCGAUACUGGGAAGCUAGAGUAUGGGAGAGGAUGGUAGAAUUCCAGGUGUAGCGGUGAAAUGCGUAGAGAUCUGGAGGAAUACCGAUGGCGAAGGCAGCCAUCUGGCCUAAUACUGACGCUGAGGUACGAAAGCAUGGGGAGCAAACAGGAUUAGAAACCCUGGUAGUCC